UCCCUGGUAGUCCAACGGCUAAGACUCUGCGCUCCGAAUGUAGGAGGCCCAGGUUCGAUCCCUGGCCAGGGAA
rfam:TPA: Bos taurus chromosome 10, whole genome shotgun sequence.